GCUCCAGUGGCCUAGUGGAUAGAGCGUCCGCCUCAGAUGCGGGAGGUCGUUGGUUGGAACUCCAGCCGAGUCA